CCUUGGCUGGCGCAAGGCUCCCAGUUUGCGCAGGCGCAGUGCGCUUUCCCCUUUCCAUCGUUGGCAGAGGUCGAAAAUGGCGGCGCUGAGGGUCCCUCUGGGAGAGGAAAAGAGGAGAGGACUCCCAUGGCUACCUUCUGGGGAAGGCCUCGCAGCUACAUGUCCCUCUCUGACAGACAUACCAAGACAGGCAGUCAUGAAGAUGUAACAUUUCAUCACGUUAACAUGAAAACACAGCAAAUUCCUUUCGCCAAGAAGAUGAAGUCUGUGUCAGCCACAUAUUCAUGAUUUGUUUACCCAGUGAGAACAGAUCAUUACCUGCAUUUGGAGGUGCACUUCAGAAAUAACAUCUAUCUAGUUUGAACACAAUGAUUGUUUUCCAUUGGAUUGUGUCAGAGUCCUGGCUUAGAGAUGGAAAGAGAUGUGGGGAGGAAGAGGACCAGCACUACAUGAUAGAAUGAUGUCACAUCCUAUAUGACAGUGGAACAUCCUUGGAACUAUUAAUUCUAGAGGGAUUUCUGUUUCUCCGGUUACACAGCAUGUCCAAGGGAUUUGGGGACUGCAAGUUGCUCAUCCAUUCUCUAGUGCUCAUUUUUAACCAGAAGUGCCUGGAAAUAUGGGGCCAUCCUGCCACGUUUUCCCCGUGUGCAUUUAACAAUAAAGCAAAUUGAUCAGAAA